CCUACGGGAGGCAGCAGUGGGGGAUAUUGCACAAUGGGGGGAACCCUGAUGCAGCGACGCCGCGUGGGUGAAGGAGCGUUUCGGCGCGUAAAGCCCUAUCGGCAGGGAAGAAGGAGGACGGUACCUGACUAAGAAGCCCCGGCUAACUACGUGCCAGCAGCCGCGGUAAUACGUAGGGGGCAAGCGUUAUCCGGAUUUACUGGGUGUAAAGGGGGCGCAGACGGCAGCGCAAGCCAGGAGUGAAAGCCCGGGGCCCAACCCCGGGACUGCGCUUGAAACUGGGCGGCUGGAGUGCAGGAGAGGAAAGUGGAAUUCCUAGUGUAGCGGUGAAAUGCGUAGAUAUUAGGAGGAACACCAGUGGCGAAGGCGACUUUCUGGACUGUACCUGACGCUGAGGCGCGAAAGCGUGGGUAGCGAACGGGAUUAGAUACCCCUGUAGUC
rnacentral:rRNA from 1 species